rnacentral:rRNA from 1 species
UACGUAGGGUGCAAGCGUUUGUCCGGAAUUAUUGGGCGUAAAGAGCUCGUAGGCGGCUUGUCACGUCGACUGUGAAAACCCGGGGCUCAACUCCGGGCCUGCAGUGGGUACGGGCAGACUAGAGUGUGGUAGGGGGAGACUGGAAUUCCUGGUGUAGCGGUGAAAUGCGCAGAUAUCAGGAGGAACACCGAUGGCGAAGGCAGGUCUCUGGGCCACUACUGACGCUGAGAAGCGAAAGCAUGGGGAGCGAACAGG